rnacentral:rRNA from 1 species
UACGAAGGGGGCUAGCGUUGCUCGGAAUCACUGGGCGUAAAGGGUGCGUAGGCGGGUCUUUAAGUCAGGGGUGAAAUCCUGGAGCUCAACUCCAGAACUGCCCUUGAUACUGAGGAUCUUGAGUUCGGGAGAGGUGAGUGGAACUGCGAGUGUAGAGGUGAAAUUCGUAGAUAUUCGCAAGAACACCAGUGGCGAAGGCGGCUCACUGGCCCGAGUACUGACGCUGAGGCACGGAAAGCGUGGGGAGCAAACAGG